GAUGAACGCUAGCUACAGGCUUAACGCAUGCAAGUCGCGGGGCAGCAUGGGGGUUGCUUGCAAUCCCCGAUGGCGACCGGCGCACGGGUGAGUAACGCGUAUCCAACCUGCCCUUCACCACGGGAUAACCCGGCGAAAGUCGGACUAAUACCGUAUGUUUUCCCUUGACGGCAUCCGAUUUGGACGCAAGUUUUGCCGGUGUAGUCUGGGGAUGCUUCCGAUUAGCUGGACGGCGGGGUGACGGCCCACCGUGGCGACGAUCGGUAGGGGUUCUGAGAGGAAGGUCCCCCACACUGGAACUGAGACACGGUCCAGACUCCUACGGGAGGCAGCAGUGAGGAAUAUUGGUCAAUGGGCGUAAGCCUGAACCAGCCAAGUAGCGUGCAGGAUGACGGCCCUAUGGGUUGUAAACUGCUUUUAUGCGGGGAUAAAGUGGCCCACGUGUGGGUUUUUGCAGGUACCGCAUGAAUAAGGACCGGCUAAUUCCGUG
rnacentral:rRNA from 1 species